UACGGGGGGGAGCAAGCGUUGUUCGGAAUUACUGGGCGUAAAGGGUGCGUAGGCGGCGCGGUAAGUCGGGUGUGAAAUCUCGGAGCUUAACUCCGAAACUGCAUUCGAUACUGCCGUGCUUGAGGACUGGAGAGGAGACUGGAAUUUACGGUGUAGCGGUGAAAUGCGUAGAUAUCUGGAGGAACACCGGUGGCGAAGGCGGCAUCCUGGACCGGCAUUGACGCUGAGGCGCGAAAGCCAGGGGGAGCAAACG
rnacentral:rRNA from 1 species